rnacentral:tRNA from 1 species
GGGGUAUAGCUCAGUGUUAGAGCAUUUGAUUGCAGAUCAAGAGGUCCCUAAUUCAAAUCUGGCUACUGCCU